CAUUCUGUGAUUCCAUGAUUAGUGAUUCUGUGCAUGGCUGUCCACCAGGCACUGCCCUCAUUCUUCAUUUUGAGUCUUCGAUUAAUCAAACAAAAGUGGCUUAGCUUUUCCUGGGUCUGUUUACUGAUGGUAUCACUUUCUUCUAGCAGCAGUAUCUCAGUUCCUGCUCCAGACUGUCCGCUAUGGCACACGCCUGAAGCUGGUGAACACUUUCUCUCAGCUCCCCCAGACAAAUGUCAGGAGCUGCAUGGUGGCUUCUGGACUCCUCAGAUACCUGCCCUCAUCAUGCAGGAAGGCAUUAACCUUUGGUUCCAAGUGAAAGCAACACAGGCUUGGAGAUGAGGCUGCCAAAGUGUGCAGCCUGCUUGCUCACAGCACUUCCAGCGGCACAUCUCUUCCACGGAGGCUCUUCCUUAAAGGAAGCACAUUUCACCUGCCCCAGAGCCAAUGUUAGAAGGAGGAAAUGGAUCACAAAGAAAUUCCUGAAGGGAGACGAAAACCCAAAUUGACAUUGUUCUACCUGUUGUGGACGUGCCCUAUUUCUUCCAUGGAGAACAUUAGCCUGAAGCAGCUCCGUGAAAUGAAAAGGCUCUGCAGGACUCAAGGUUUGGGGCAGAAAGGAGAAAAAUGAAUGUAGAUACAGUCACAGUUGGCUUUUGCAGGGGAAACCCCACAGCCUGAGGAUGCAAACCAAGCAGUGGGAAGAGGAAGGGAUGGAACAAAAAGACAGGUGAAAAGAAGUUAAUUUCCCUUAUACCACUGAUGGUCUUUUGCAACGUAAAUCCCAAGCAGUUCCUGCUAUGUCUCCCUUUCCCCAAGCUCCUUCUAAUGAUGUUGGAUCUGCAGUCUCCUCCAUCAGGUCCCAAGCUGUCAGUUUGUGACCUCUGAGAGAACAAACACACUUCUCUGUUGGAAAAGGUCUCCACGAUUCAGUCACUGUCCACAUGCCUGGUGUCCAGACCAAUCUCACUCAUCGGGAGCACACAGAUGUGAGAAUGUAACUGUAUGCUGCUUAUGAAGAAAAUUCUGUGAAAUUGAUUUUGUCACUAGGGCUGCUUUUUGACCAUUCUAGUGGUGCAACCUGACAAGCCAUAGCACCAAAAGUGGGGAAGGAAAAACUUUAUAAGCCUGCCUAACUCCAGGCUGAAGCUGCUGUGUGAAAAGGAAUCCAGUUGAACAAAGCUCAACAGAAGUCAUGCCAUGCCACAUUGCUGUGGGAGAACGUUCUCAUCCCUAUCUCUUAUGGGAUAUUUGAAAUCAUGAGAUUUGUGUGCAUGUUAAGUGCCUACUAUUUUCAGUAUCCUUUUUAAAAUGUAGUCUAUAAUGCUACUGGGAAAAAGAGAACACAUUUGAGAGAGAUUUCUCCUUACAUAUACAAUUUGAGGGUUUGGAACAGACCACCUGGGAGUUCAUAAACUCCUGAGGGACUUGUGAGAUCCAGUCUGCAUGUGAAAUUUCUAAAAUAUACUACAAAACUUUGGUUGCAAAUAUUCCAUGGUCAGCAGUCCCAAAUGGGGACUCAAACAACUGGGAGGAAGGAGCCAAUGAGGACUUCGUGAAAUUCAGCUAGAAUGAAUGCUGAGUCCUGCAUCUGUGAUGGAUGAACCCUAGAACUGAUAGAGGCUGGGGAGUAGCUUGGCAGGAAAGGCUUUGAACGCCUUGACUUAGGUGGUGGGCUCUUCUCAGCACACCUGAAAGAGGGACAAGAGACAGAGUAGCCUUGUCUGAGCUCACACCUAGCCUUGCUUUGAGCAACAAGCUGAACUCAGAAUGUCCUGAUGUCCCUUCCCACCUGAAUUAUCCUGCGAUCUUCUAAAGUGCUGCCUUUAGAAGUCUGAGGUUCCCAUUCCCCGUCUGCCUCCAUCUUGCUCUGAGAAGCUGCCUUAGCCUCCCUGAUUUUUCUCUCCUGUUUUGAACCAUGUUCUGUAAAGUGAUUCCUAUUCCAAACCAGUAGAGUCUUGUUAUGGUCAUGUUCUGAUUUAUUUUGCUGCACAAUGAUGAGCUACAGUGAAGCUAUGCAUUUCUAUGAGUAAAGGAGGAAGCUUAUGUGCUUUAUUACUCAUUACAGGCCUUUAAAAUAACCAGCCUUCUACUGUAAAUAUAUUAUUAUUUUUCCUAACAGCAAAGCUAAACUGCGAGUGUGCCACUAGAUGUCCCUUGUCACCCAAGUGAUGGUGGCACAUCCCCAGCGCUAUAUGAUGUAGCAUUGUAAAGAAAACAGUGUUUAAAGUAUUCAGUAUGGAGAGAUGUCGUGGCUGCCUCAGAAAGACUUGUGUUAUCCUCAGAAAGGUAUUGUCAUAGUUAGCAAGGAGAUAAUUACUUCUUUUAUCUCUUUUGCUUAAUUCUAAAGAGACCCCCUAGUAAGAAGGUGUUUGUUCUGACGGGGUAUUUUCACCAGGACCAACCCAAAUUUCCUGGUGAAAAAUGCUCACGCUAGGAAUUGCUGGGUUGCUGAGCCUAACACUGUGAUGUUCAACAACUUUUGCAACUCCAGUACAGGCCAGGGUAGCGUGAGAUGGGAUCUGGCAAUCUGUGUCAGUAGAUCUGCUGGAGAAGGGAUAGGUAGCUUCAGGAUUUUCUUGCACCUUUGUAUUGAUUCUGACCUUUGGGGCAAUUUUAUAUUGAAAUGGACCAGUGAAAGAAGCUGCUUCUGUGAAGAGGUGUUGGACAUUAAGCAUUAGUUUAAGGAAAGAAGAAUACGAACAGAGGGAAAAAAAUUGGUCUCAAUUUGCUUCAGACAGAAACCCAACAAAUGACAGUUAAAGCCCUUCAUCCUCUUUGUUGGCUGCUGAGAGCAGAUCAUCUGCUUCAUGUGAGCUGGGAGAGCUGAGCUGGCCAGUGAGGACGGAAGAAGAUGCAUGCCAGGCUCCUUGAGGAGGUCCUCAGGGCACCUCUCUCCUUCUGCCCCUCUACCCCACCAGAGCAGCCAAAGCCUGGAAGGAUCAUUGUGUCCCUACAAAGGGGGAAAGAGGCUGGUGAGUGAGGGAGCAGCCUCUGAGGCUUGCAGCAUGGAGCAGGGAGAACUAAGGAGCAGAUCUGCAGAGUUGGAGACAGUGCCCAAGGGGGCACAGGGAAUCCCCCCUACCCUGAUCCUACUCGGCAUCCUCAAACCUUUCCUUACACAUCCCAGCCCCGGCAAUAGGGCAGUUUUGGUCUCUCCUGCAGCACUUCAAGUGUUAAUUCCUCUGCAUGCCAUGUGGCCUUGUUUUCGCUGGAGUGGAAGCUGCGUUUCCAUAUGUCCCUAUCUCCCACAGCUGACAUCUCAGCGAGGACAUCUGUGCCACUCGGCAUGCCUGUGCCCUUGCACAGCUUCACCUGGGCUUGUGUGGAGUGAUUCCUCCUCGCCCUUGUCCCCCAUGGUGCUCUGUGCACCUACCAUUGCUUCAUGAGUAGGGGGAUGCGCCUGUCCCCAUGCUGCCUUAAAGCAUCUGAGCUGGGUUAUCAACCCCGGGUAAUAUUUUAUAGAAUCAUUAAGGCUGGAGAAGACCACUAAAUCACCUAUUGCAUCCGUAGUGUGGUUAAAAACUUGCUCUUAUCUGUUUCUCAGGAUGUGCCGCUGCAGUGUGUGAUUGCACAGACCACGCUGUUGUGUAUUCAGUCACAUACGCCUGCCUGAAUGACUGAAAUGAAGUAUUUGCUGCUUUCUACUUCAUUUAAAACUGCGGGAGCUGGUAGUGCUCAUCCUCCCCACAUACUGAGGUAUCCACACGUGCCACUCGCCAGCCUGGGGCUUCUUCCCCAAGCAAUGGCUGAGCAAAUCUCUUAAUAACAGAGCAACUACUCGCAGAUUAUUGUGAUCAUAAUUUGGCUGACAUAGCCUUUAUUACUAAUGGCAAUGCUGGAAAUGGAAAACCCAGCUUGAUGCUCAGCUCCCCGCUGGAAAGUAAUAAAAUAAAGAGGAACAAAAUCCUUGAAUGUAUUUGCUACCAAACCUUUGAAAAACACAAAAGUGGAACCCUGCCAAUGCUGUUGCUGGCAGUUUUUCAGACCAGAGCCUCUCUCCAAGGUAGGAUUAGAAGUGGAAAUGCAUUUGUAUCUAUGACAUUAGUAUCAUGUUGUUGUGUAUGAAUGGAAGGUUUGCAAUCAUUUGACAUCUAUUGGUUUCUAUUGCAAUUAUGGUACGCUCCUUUUUUUACCUUCAGCAUAUUUUUUACCAAUCUUCCAGUCAUGGAAUAAUUAGAAAACAGCUCCAGUUAUUGUAGAAACAAAAGCAAACAAACAAACAUGCAAACAAAAAAGUGUUUAUUUUGUCAACUCAAAGAAUGAUCAAAAGAAGAGUUUCAUUUAAAAUGUUCUUAUAAAAAUGGAGGGUGUGGCAGCUUUUCAGUGAGGUCUUUGUUGACAACGUGGGCUGAGGGAGGUUGGCUUUUACAUAAACUCUUUUGUCCAUCUCUGUGCAAUGGCAGAAUUUGCAGCUAGUUUCUGAUGGCAGAAAUUUCUUGUCUGUGGCAGCUGAGAAUGAUUUGAUAUCAUGUAGAAUAAUUAAAAAAAAAAGCAUCCCCAAACUACAGCUCAGGUUUUGAAUACCAGAAUGAGCCUUCAGUGCUAAGGAAUGAGCCUCCAGUGCUAAGUAUACAGAAAAAGCUAUUUAAUUUUUUUUUUUUUUUAAACAUAAAAAGAACCACUCGA